rnacentral:rRNA from 1 species
GCGCAGCAGGCGAGAAACCUCCGCAAUGCGCGAAAGCGCGACGGGGCCACCCCGAGUGCCGCCCGCUGAGGGCGGCUUUUCCCCGGUGUAGACAGCCGGGGGAAUAAGGGGAGGGCAAGUCUGGUGUCAGCCGCCGCGGUAAUACCAGCUCCCCGAGUGGUGGGGACGAUUAUUGGGGCCUAAAGCGUCCGUAGCCGGCCCGGCAAGUCUCCCGUUAAAUCCAGCGAUCUAAUCGCUGGACUGCGGGAGAUACUGUCGGGCUAGGGGGGC